GACCCAGUGUGGCAUAGUGGUUUGAGCAUUGGACUAUGAUUCUGGAGACCAGGGUUUGAAUCCUUGUUGAGGCA